rnacentral:rRNA from 1 species
AGAGUUUGAUCCUGGCUCAGAACGAACGCUGGCGGCGUGCCUAACACAUGCAAGUCGAACGGAGUUGUGGGGCUUGCUCCUCAAUUUAGUGGCGCACGGGUGAGUAACGCGUAGAUAAUCUGCCUGAUGAUCCGGGAUAACAUUUCGAAAGGGGUGCUAAUACCGGAUAAGCCCACGGGGACUUUGGUUCUUGCGGGAAAAGGGGGGGACCUUCGGGCCUUCUGUCAUCAGAUGAGUCUGCGUACCAUUAGCUAGUUGGUAGGGUAAUGGCCUACCAAGGCUACGAUGGUUAGCUGGUCUGAGAGGAUGAUCAGCCACCGGAACUGAGACACGGUCCAGACUCCUACGGGAGGCAGCAGUGGGGAAUUUGGCGCAAUGGGCGAAAGCCUGACGCAGCAACGCCGCGUGAGUGAUGAAGGCUUUCGGGUCGUAAAGCUCUGUCGAGGGGAAAGAAAUGUAUUGCGGCUAAUAUCCGCGAUACUUGACGGUACCCCUAAAGGAAGCACCGGCUAACUCCGUGCCAGCAGCCGCGGUAA